AAACAACAACGGAGAACCAAAAACCCUUGAAAGCACAAGGCUGCAGACUAAGGGCCGAGCCUCGUUAAAACCUCAUAACAGAUGAGGAAAAAGAGUACUCGUCAAGGACCAAGGUUGACAGAGCUGAGUUAGGAGGUCUCAAGGAUUCCGGCCGAACCAUUACCCUUAGGCCUCCCGGCUCGCAACCGAUCCAAACAAAAGAAAAGAAGACCAAAAAAUCAAGCGAAACGAGUAAAAUAGGGAAUAGAAACAUCCUCCUUGACAAAAUCAUGUAAACCAGCAAUGGCAUGAGGCCAAAAACCCUCCUCCGAAGCUUGAGAAGCCAAAAAAUCCGCCGAUCUGUUGCCCUCACGAAAAAUGUGAGAAAUGCGCCACGUGAAAGUAUGGAGUUUGGAGAGAGCAAGCUGCCACCUAGGCUUGAAUCUCCAAGGAACCGUCUCAGAGAGCGACUGAAGAAGCUGAACCACGUAAGAAGAAUCCGACUCAAACCAAACUCUCUCCCAUUUGGCACGAUGCGCAGAUUCAAUCGCAAUAAUAAUAGCUAAAAGCUCUGCUUCGAACGCAACCCCCUGGCCGCCUGAGAAAUGAUAACAACCAAGAACGUCAUUGAAGGCAUUCCUAAAGACGCCCCCCGCAUGAAUCCUCCCUUCACGAACCGAACC
rnacentral:lncRNA from 1 species